CCUACGGGUGGCUGCAGUGAGGAAUAUUGGUCAAUGGGCGGAAGCCUGAACCAGCCAUGCCGCGUGCAGGACGACGGCCCUACGGGUUGUAAACUGCUUUUCCGGGGGAAGAAUAACCGCCCUGCGGGGCGGGAUGCCGGUACCCCGGGAAUAAGGAUCGGCUAACUCCGUGCCAGCAGCCGCGGUAAUACGGAGGAUCCUAGCGUUAUCCGGAUUUACUGGGUCUAAGGGGUGCGUAGGCGGGCGUGUGGAAGGUCUGCGGCUCAACCGUAGGAUUGCCGUGGAUACUGGGCGCCCUGGAUUCGGUCGGGGCGGGCGGAAUGCGUGGUGUAGCGGUGAAAUGCAUAGAUAUCACGCAGAACGCCGAUAGCGAAGGCAGCUCGCCGGGCCGAUAUCGACGCUGAGGCACGAAAGCGUGGGGAUCAAACAGGAUUAGAUACCCCUGUAGUC
rnacentral:rRNA from 1 species